UACGUAGGGACCAAGCGUUGUUCGGAUUUACUGGGCGUAAAGGGCGCGUAGGCGGCAUUGUUAGUCACUUGUGAAAUCUCCGGGCUUAACCCGGAACGGCCAAGUGAUACUGCAGUGCUAGAGUGCGGAAGGGGCAAUCGGAAUUCUCGGUGUAGCGGUGAAAUGCGUAGAUAUCGAGAGGAACACCUGAGGUGAAGACGGGUUGCUGGGCCGACACUGACGCUGAUGCGCGAAAGCCAGGGGAGCAAACGGG
rnacentral:rRNA from 1 species